AUGAGGGAAAAAAGAGCCUUCAUGGGGGGAGACAGGGAAUUAUUGAGGAGUAUACAGAAGCAACUGAAGAUCAAGAUCAGAGACAGCAAGGAGGCAUACAGGAAGAAGCUGGAGAACAAACUACAGAGGAACAAUAUCAGAGAUGUCUGGUCAGGGAUGAAGAAGAUCACAGGCUUCAAGCAGAGGAAGGAUUGCACAGAUGGCAGCCUGGACACAGCCAAUGAACUGAACAAGUUCUUCAAUAGGUUCAGUUCAGGAACAAACCCAGCAUCCUCCUCGCCUGUCCCCAGCCAAUCAGACAUCCCAUCCUCCUCUGAUCCAACAUUUUCCUGUCACACGCCAGCUCUUUUGUCCUCUAACGCAGUCAUGGACUCUUCUGGUUCUAUAAAUCUGUCUUCAACCAAGUCAGGAGAUGCUGCUGCCCCAUUUACCUCCCCCUCCCACCUAUCUGUCUCUAGAAGUCAGGUGAAGAGGCAGCUGGAGAGACUGAACAGGAACAAGGCUGCAGGUCCAGAUGGUGUCAGCCCCAGAGUACUGAAGGCCUGUGCAGAGCAGCUCUGUGGGAUUCUGCAGCACCUCUUCAACCUCAGCCUGGCCCAGGAGAAGGUUCCAGUCCUGUGGAAGACAUCCUGCCUUGUUCCAGUUCCAAAGAAAACUCGCCCAUCAGUCAAUGACGACUACAGACCGGUUGCCCUGACAUCCCACAUCAUGAAGGUCCUGGAGAGACUCCUGUUGGUCCACCUGAAUAAGCAAACUAGAACAUAUCAGGACCCGCUGCAGUUUGCUUAUCGCCAUGGAGUUGGAGUUGAAGAUGCCAUCAUCCAGCUGCUUCAACCAACCCACUGUCAUCUGGACAAAGCAGGCAGCACUGUCAGGGUCAUGUUCUUUGAUUUCUCCAGUGCAUUUAACACAAUCCAGCCUGAUGUACUUUGCCAGAAACUCCAGAAGACACAGGUGGGGGCCUCAAUUAUCACCUUUAAAGACUACCUGACAAACAGACCACAGUUUGUGAGGCUGAAGAACUGCACAUCAAACCAGGCGAUCAGUAACACUGGAGCACCACAGGGGACUGUACUCUCACCAUUUCUUUUCACCCUGUACACCUCAGACUUCUAG
rnacentral:lncRNA from 1 species